GUGAAGAUAGAACUUUCCAGGCUUCUCAGAAAAGAACAAAGGGUUCAGAGAAAUAGAGAAUCGAACAAAGGCCUCUCUGUGAGAGCAGCUGACGAGCCUUGAGAAGAUACUUCAUUUAUCAAGGAGACUUUCCAAGGGGAUCAUGGGAAGAAAUAUCUUAAAAGGGAGAUUCAGUUCAUUGUGAUUGGAGAAGGGAAAUGGGUCUGACCAUGUGCAGCUCAUGCUGGCCUCUAACACACAGUCUUCCUGCCUCUGCUUCCCGAGUGCUGGGAUGACAGGUGUGCGCCCCCACACCUGAUUUUUCUAAAUGAGAAGAUGGAAGUCUAGAUUUUGUUUUUUUAAAUGCGAGGUCUCGCACUGUUUGAAUGUCACCACCUAAUGGAAACUUUUGAAACUGCUGAGUGUGUGAAGGCCAAAUCCAUCCCAACACAGCCAGCUUUGUCCAGAGAACCACAGGAAAAACAGUAGAGACCAGAGAAUGCAGCAGAGACGGCAGUCAUCAGGGCUAAUGGCUCUCAGAGAAGCUCAGUGUCUUCACAGGAGACUCCAUCAAUGACAUUAUUAUUGUAUAAGUUUAACCUGGUCUGCCUUGCGUGGGGCCCUCUGCUGUGUGACCGGCUGGUAAGAAUCCUGCUUGGCGUCACAUCGCUCACAACUUCUUCUUACAAGGAUUUGUUCUGGUUGAUUAUUUAUAUCAAAGCAGCAAAAAUAAAUUGAAUAAUGAGGGCAACUUGCAAGAUUUCCAUUUGCAGAAACCGAGGCCCCUAAAUCAUGCACAGAGUUGUCACUCCGACUGCAUAAACCAGCGCUCUAAGUGUCCUGGGAAAUUUAAAUGUUUAUUAAUUAUUAUUAUUCCUAUAAAGCUUCUACCAGUGUC